CUUUAGUGCUGACGACGAGCAGAGGCCCGCAUCUUCCGGGGAUGAGCAGGUUUCAGAGGUGAAAUGGCGAGUCCUCCAUCGGUGGGAUGUGCCUUGGAGCUGGUCGACUAUUACACUUACUAUAUUGGCAUGCGGACUGAGACAGCGUUCUCCUUACAGGGUCGUUAGAGGCAUCACUUCUUCCAUAUUUUGGUUUGGAAGGCAGGGAAAUUAGUUUGGAUCAGAAAGCAGAAUUGUUGUUUGCUGGCCAACUAUCUGUAACAGCCGUUGUGCUAGGGGUGAUUUUUGGCAUCACCAAGAGCUUUGAGCCACUUCCAAAUGAUCUGUUUCGCUAUAAUCUUACCAAACCAUUUGAUCUACGGGAUGGCUGGCUCCUCUGGGCAGGUAUUGGUCUCCUAGGUGCACUAAUUGCUAUCGCUCUCACUGGUACGACCCUGAGUAUAUUUCAUGGUGAAAACCCACAAAGAGAGGUUAGAUAUUAUUGUCUAUGAUCAUAUGUUUGGAUGGUUAAAUGAAAUCAUUUCUAUUAUCUGCUUUAGUUUUUCCUAACUUUUAUAGUAUUUAAUUUACUUCCAUAAUGGUCAGGAAUUUUCAUUCCAAUUGCAAGUUGUCAUAAAUAGUUCAACCUAGUAUUAGCUGCAGAAAUGCUAUGGGGAAUUUUAUUGGCUAUAAGAAAUCUAUUAUUUUCUCAAAAUUGAUUCAAGCUACAAAAGUUCAUAAAGAAUGUCGAUUGAUUGUGAAACAGUUUCUUGGAUUAUGCACCUAAAUAGCCAAAUAGUAGGCAUGGAAUGAACCAUACCAUACUCAACAUGAGCAAUAUACACAUAAAAGGCUUGGCAAUCAGCCUUGCAUAUGAGCUAACUGUGCACCAGUUAAGCAGGCUCAUUUGCUUGGUGUUUCAGUUUGAAUCAACCCAUUCAUUUCUGAGCUAGAAUAGGUUGCGUGCAGCUCGUCCCGUUUAAGACUUCUACUAAGUGGUGCUACAAAGAGUUUUCUUUUCAUCCUUUGUGUUCCAAAUUGUCGUUAUUCCAUGCACUAGAAAAUGCAACCACAUACAAAAUUCUACUCUUAAAAAUGAAGAUUUUCUUAUAGAUUUCUUUCUAGUGUCAAUUUUGGUAAAAGGAAACAUGACUUGAUUUGUUCCUUCACACGGUUCUUUUCUCAUGUUUCUCUGCUUUUCUUAGUUAAACUUGUUCUUUUUCUUUCUACUUGUGGAUUAGGAUAAUUAUAUGUUUCCAUUUUGGUCUGAAUUUUGCAAAAUCUUGGUAAUACUUAGGUAGCAAGCUUACAAAUUGUCUUGCAACAGUAAGGCUCAUAUUAUAAGUGUCCACAACAUAUGUUGGAACCAAGGUUGUCAAAUUGAGGUUCAUAUCUAUAAGCAUUUUUGUGAAUUAUUGAAUCAUAAAUCAUAUUGGAUCGUGGAUUGUUAUUUUGUGGACUAUUGAUGAUGGGUAAGUUGGAAUUAUUCACAACAUAUGUUGGAACCAAGGUUGUCAAAUUGAGGUUCAUAUCUAUAAGCAUUUUUGUGAAUUAUUGAAUCAUAAAUCAUAUUGGAUCGUGGAUUGUUAUUUUGUGGACUAUUGAUGAUGGGUAAGUUGGAAUUAUUCAAAGUAUUGGAAAUUUUUUUGAAAAAGUAACGUUUUGGGAAUAAACUGAAAGUCUCCAUUGAUAUUGGUUUUACACUUGAAUUCUCAACAAAUUAUUUUAAUCUAUUGUCUUAACUCUUAACCUCCAUUUAUAUAUACUCUUUCGUUUAUAAUCUCUCAGCCACACGAUUUACAUGUUAUUUCAUAAUGAUUUUAGAGAUUCUGAAUUUAUUGCAUAAUUUGGUAGCAAACUGAUGCCUUAAUUCGCUUAUUGCCACUGAUUGGUUCUUCAGGUGUCAGCACUGCAUUUCUUGUGGCCACUACUGGGAUUUUAGCCCCAGUUCUUGAGGAAACUAUCUUCAGGGGAUUUCUUAUGGUGUCGCUAACUAAAUACUUGCCAACACCAGCUUCUGUGCUUAUAACUGCUGCAAUAUUUGCCAUUGCUCAUCUCACACCAGGAGAAUUUCCUCAGCUGUUUGUUUUAGGGACUGCUUUGGGGUUUUCAUAUGCUCAAACUCAUAAUCUACUAACACCUAUCACAAUACAUGCACUAUGGAACUCCGGAGUCAUCUUAUUGCUCACAUUCCUUCAGAUUCAAGGAUACGAUAUAAGGGAACUGCUACAACCAUCCUGAAGCAUAAUUCAUGUGUCUGGAUUUCACCAAAUUAAUUUAAGGGAUAGAUAGUGUCAAAAGACGACCUUCCAUUUGGAAUUUAAAGUUUGAUUUUUUUUUUUUAUUACUCUCAUUUUUGUCACUGCACUAUAUCCGUGAGGCCAAUAUAUAGCCCAAACUAUGGUGUAACUGCAAGGUCUUCUUAUAAUCUCCCUUACACUAA